rnacentral:rRNA from 1 species
GCCAGACUCCUACGGGAGGCAGCAGUGGGGGAUAUUGCACAAUGGGGGGAACCCUGAUGCAGCGACGCCGCGUGGGUGAAGGAGCGUUUCGGCGCGUAAAGCCCUAUCGGCAGGGAAGAAGGAGGACGGUACCUGACUAAAAAGCCCCGGCUAACUACGUGCCAGCAGCCGCGGUAAUACGUAGGGGGCAAGCGUUAUCCGGAUUUACUGGGUGUAAAGGGGGCGCAGACGGCAGCGCAAGCCAGGAGUGAAAGCCCGGGGCCCAACCCCGGGACUGCUCUUGGAACUGCGCGGCUGGAGUGCAGGAGGGGCAGGCGGAAUUCCUGGUGUAGCGGUCAAAUGCGUAGAUAUCAGGAGGAACACCGGUGGCGAAGGCGGCCUGCUGGACUGCGACUGACGUUGAGGCCCGAAAGCGUGGGGAGCAAACAGGAUUAGAUACCCCAGUACC